rnacentral:rRNA from 1 species
UACGUAGGUGGCAAGCGUUGUCCGGAUUUAUUGGGUUUAAAGGGUGCGUAGGCGGUCUAUUAAGUCAGUGCUGAAAUAUCCCGGCUUAACCGGGAGGGUGGCAUUGAUACUGAUGGACUUGAGUAAAGUUGAGGUUGGCGGAAUUGACGGUGUAGCGGUGAAAUGCUUAGAUAUCGUCAAGAACACCGAUAGCGAAGGCAGCUUACUAAGCUCAAACUGACACUGAUGCACGAAAGUGUGGGGAUCAAACAGG